rnacentral:lncRNA from 1 species
UGCCUGACUUGGAAAUGCAUGUGCUCCCAUGGUCACGUGGCCCCCUUGGAUGAACACAGUGACUUUGUGAGCAGUCUGCUGAUGCUGACACUCCUGCAGCAGCCUUCUGAGCAGUCAGAUGAGGAAACCAAGCUGCCAUUUGUUGAAGUCACAAAGCCUGAGCUUACUAGCUCAGGAUGUUAACUCCAGCAUGCAGUGAUAUAGGAGAUAAUGUAUGUGGAAACUCAGAGCUGCGGCUGAUGCGAGGUGCUUCUCAGUAGAUGCUUCUCUCCCUGGAGAAACAUUCACUGCUGGACUCUGGACAGAAAUAGAAUGGGAUACUGGGCACCAUUCCUCAGCCUUCAGCUACGAUUUGCUUUCAUCUAUUUGGUUUUACUCUGGGGAUGGAAUGAAAUGUGGGUGGAGGCUGUUGGUGCCCUCGGUGGUCUGACUGCCCCCUCUCCUUCCACCACUCCCUUCAUCUGGCUGAAGUCCAGCUGCCUCAGAUGCUAAGAGGUGAAGAAAGAGUCCAUGGUGUCUACCGGGAGUGUUGAUAGGCUUCAGAGAAAAGCUGGAAGAGGGAGUGGCUCAGCGGAGCUCCACUACGGUCAGGGGUGCCUGUGUCUCUGGCGUGCACACACUGUAGUGUGGUCCUCUCACACUGCGGGUAGCCGUGUGCCCUGACUCCUGCCGUCCCACCGGGGUGCUGUGUGCCCUGACUCCUGCUGUCCCUCUGGGGUGCCGUGUGCCCUGACUCCUGCCGUCCCACCGGGGGUGCUGUGUGCCCUGACUCCUGUUGUCCUUCUGGGGUGCUGUGUGCCCUGACUCCUGCUCUCAUCCCUGCUGUGCACCUUAUUCUCAGCACCUAGCUGGGCACCUCAUACAUGACACAGGUGUAUAAAUAUUUGUUGAAAUGUACAUACAUUAAUAGGAGCAUCCUGAAAGCCUCUCUAAUAAAAUUAUUCUUAUAUUUUUAAAGGUUUUGAAAACAUUUUUAAACUUCCUGGAGAUAGAGGGUAAACAUUCUCCGUUUAGUGAGUUCUGUUUCUGGCCA